rnacentral:rRNA from 1 species
AGCGAACGCUGGCGGCAGGCCUAACACAUGCAAGUCGAACGGACCCUUCGGGGUUAGUGGCGGACGGGUGAGUAACACGUGGGAACGUGCCUUUAGGUUCGGAAUAGCUCCUGGAAACGGGUGGUAAUGCCGAAUGUGCCCUUCGGGGGAAAGAUUUAUCGCCUUUAGAGCGGCCCGCGCCUGAUUAGCUAGUUGGUGAGGUAAUGGCUCACCAAGGCGACGAUCAGUAGCUGGUCUGAGAGGAUGACCAGCCACAUUGGGACUGGGACACGGCCCAAACUCCUACGGGAGGCAGCAGUGGGGAAUCUUGCGCAAUGGGCGAAAGCCUGACGCAGCCAUGCCGCGUGGAUGAUGAAGGUCUUAGGAUUGUAAAAUCCUUUCACCGGUGAAGAUAAUGACUGUAGCCGGAGAAGAAGCCCCGGCUAACUUCGUGCCAGCCGCCGCCGUAA